UGUACGGGCACUUGCCAUGACUUUAUUUUUGAAUAUUUCUGUGUUCAUGUGGUAGGGAAAACAUUGUUGUAUACUACAAAUUCCCUGUUUUGCUUUUAGGUUGGAGACUACAUAAGACUUUGACAGUUGGCGGGAAACCAUCAUCAACUGGAGAGAUGCCGGUAGAGGAAUGUCUGCGACUAAGUCAAGGGCCACUGGAUAAGGGUUGUUGAUGGCAAAACAGGUUGGAGACUACAUAAGACUUUGACAGUUGGCGGGAAACCAUCAUCAACUGGAGAGAUGCCGGUAAAAAGAUGGCCAUAAAACAGUGACCGCUGAUUCGCAUUGAGUUCUUUCUUACAUAUUGGAUGACCUAUGUUUUUUAUUGCUUAAAUCAUUGCGGCUUGGAAUGCUCUUUAAGAAAAGGUAUGGUUAUGGGGGUGUCUACGCGCAAAAGUUUGACUUUAUUUUUUGUUAAAGUUAUUGCUUUUACAUUGAAUUUGUGCAGGAAAUCUUUUGGUAUGUUGUGACC